rnacentral:lncRNA from 1 species
CAUUCACUCUAUUCACGUGGCAGCAUCCUAUUCGAUCCAAUAGUGAAUAUUCUAACGGAGUCCAACAUCCCCGCUCUGGGAACAAUCGGAAAAAAAAAGAAAAAAGAAAAAAAAGGCAGAAUUCCGUUUACCAAAACUAAGAAACUUAAAAAACUAGAAAGCCGAUUACCAAAUCCUCAAAUUUGGAAAGAGGGAAUUUUGUGCGAUCUAAUUUGGGCCGCCACUUGUGCGAGGCGUUCACGCG